rnacentral:rRNA from 1 species
GCGGGUGCCUAUACAUGCAGUCGAGCGGACAGAUGGGAGCUUGCUCCCUGAUGUUAGCGGCGGACGGGUGAGUAACACGUGGGUAACCUGCCUGUAAGACUGGGAUAACUCCGGGAAACCGGGGCUAAUACCGGAUGGUUGUUUGAACCGCAUGGUUCAAACAUAAAAGGUGGCUUCGGCUACCACUUACAGAUGGACCCGCGGCGCAUUAGCUAGUUGGUGAGGUAACGGCUCACCAAGGCAACGAUGCGUAGCCGACCUGAGAGGGUGAUCGGCCACACUGGGACUGAGACACGGCCCAGACUCCUACGGGAGGCAGCAGUAGGGAAUCUUCCGCAAUGGACGAAAGUCUGACGGAGCAACGCCGCGUGAGUGAUGAAGGUUUUCGGAUCGUAAAGCUCUGUUGUUAGGGAAGAACAAGUACCGUUCGAAUAGGGCGGUACCUUGACGGUACCUAACCAGAAAGCCACGGCUAACUACGUGCCAGCAGCCGCGGUAAUACGUAGGUGGCAAGCGUUGUCCGGAAUUAUUGGGCGUAAAGGGCUCGCAGGCGGUUUCUUAAGUCUGAUGUGAAAGCCCCCGGCUCAACCGGGGAGGGUCAUUGGAAACUGGGGAACUUGAGUGCAGAAGAGGAGAGUGGAAUUCCACGUGUAGCGGUGAAAUGCGUAGAGAUGUGGAGGAACACCAGUGGCGAAGGCGACUCUCUGGUCUGUAACUGACGCUGAGGAGCGAAAGCGUGGGGAGCGAACAGGAUUAGAUACCCUGG